rnacentral:rRNA from 1 species
GACGAACGCUGGCGGCGUGCUUAACACAUGCAAGUCUACGAGAAAAGGGUAGCAAUAUCCUGAGUAAAGUGGCGCACGGGUGAGUAACACGUAGGCAAUCUGCCUUUAGGACGGGAACAACCCCGAGAAAUCGAGGCUAAUACCCGAUAAUGCAGCGGCACCGCAUGGUGACAGUUGUUAAAUGCCCGCAAGGGCGCCUAGAGAUGAGCCUGCGCCCCAUUAGGUAGNGGUGAGGUAACGGCCCACCAAGCCUACGAUGGGUAGCUGAUCUGAGAGGAUGAUCAGCCACACUGGAACUGAGACACGGCCCAGACUCCUACGGGGAGGCAGCA